GUCACCCACACACACACACACACACACCCACAUAUGGAAAACUUUUCUGGCUGCCAUUCCAAACGAUGGCAGAAAAGGGAAUAUACAAAAAAACACAAGAACAUGUUGGUGCCACCUCCGCUCCAUCUUUGAUUAUCAAAUCGUAUGCCAAAAAAAAAGGCGGAAAAAGAGACAGAGGGAAACGCAUUUUGCUCGUUUGUACUGUCGAUGGGGGCGACGCAUUCAUCACUGUAACAGCAGGACAUUGGCAAGCGGAGAGCUCCGGAUUAAGUCCCAUAUAUAAAAUGGAUUUUGCUUUUAUAUUAAUAUGCGCAUAAAUAUGUUCUUUUUGUCUGGU
rnacentral:lncRNA from 1 species